ACCCGCCCUCCUCUCGCGUCUGGAGCCUGCGAACCGGAACAGCCAAUCUCAGCACUCAGUACAGAGACUCCUCCAAUACGCAACCGCCUCUGGGGGAAAAGCCCGCCCUCUGCGUCGUUUUGACCUAUGGAAGGCCGGAUCUACUUAGGCUCAUCUUUACCCACCUUCGGGGUUAACGCUUGCUUCGGGUUUUGCUGGCGAGUGGGGGUCGUGAGAGGGCGGGUGGUCUUAGGCUGGCGCUGCGCGGAGCUGCGCAGAGUGGGCGGCGUGGGGCGCGCUGUCCUCGCGCGCAGGCUGCGUCAAGAAUCAGGCGCUCAUUCAUUCGUUUCGUGAGCGCGCGCGCCGCUGCUGGGAAGCGGUGCUAGCCUUGCACUGGGCGUCUGUUCCUAUUCGCGUCUAAACCCGGGGUGACCUGGGACCACUGAACAGUAAAUUCAGGUAAGGAUUGAUUGAUUGAUUGAUUUUGGUACCAGGGAUCGAACUCAUGACCUUGCUUGCCAGGCAGGUGCUUUUAUUGCUGACCUAAAUCUUCGGCCAGGGAUUUAUUUUUAUCUUGUUGAUUGUUUCAAAAACUAACUCUUCUGGCCCUGAAUCAAAGCCGGCAACUUCCUGACACUGUUGGUUUAAAGCAGGAGCCUAAAGAGAUGUCUUUCUAUAGUCUGUUGGCCAUUUCAGAAUUCGGCAGUGAAAUGAUCAAUUCCUUAGAAAGAAACAGCUUGAAGCAACCUCCGCCCCAGGAGCGACUGUGAGCGUGGAAGGCUACUGAGGUCCAGGACAGGAGCCACCAGUGUUUACUGGGACCUGGAGCUCCGUGAAACCAAGCAAUCCCUCUCUCCCCUGGUGAGCAGCUGUGAGUGUGGCAGGCUCCAGCGGGAGCUGCUGGCAUUUACUGGCACCCGAGCCAUGCUGGGACCUGGAGCUCUGGGAAACCAAGCAACCCCUCCCCCGCUGCCUGUUUCGUUUUGUUGAACUUCAAUAUACAUGAAAGUAUGGACAACUAUUUUGAAGAGAAUGAGAGACUCUACGACAGCCAUUAGUGACUUCCCUAUUGUUUGAUUUUGAAGACCUAAAACGCCUUCCUCAACUGUUCAGAUCAGUUUUAUACUAUGUUGUUUUGUAUGAAUUCUCUGUAUGAAAAGACCUGGACAACUAUUUGGAAGAAAACAAGAGACAAUAUGAUAGAUAGUGAAGAUCUCAAGUUGUCUAGCUUUGAAAUUUAUAUCUCUUACAUUGCUUUUUUAUGUCCUGUUUUGUUGGGUUUAAUUUUACCCCCCUUAAAAUAAAAUAAAAUAAAAUAAAGUAACUCUUUGGUUCA